rnacentral:lncRNA from 1 species
GAGUAGAAAGGAGUGUGGCCUUCUCUUCUUCCCGCCAUGGCUUGUGCCCGUCCCCUCAUGUCGGUGUACUCUGAAAAGGGGGAGUCAUUUGUCAAGAAUGUCACUUUGCCAGCUGUGUUCAAAGAUCCCAUUCAACUGGAUGCUGUGAACUUUGUUCACACCAACUUGAGGAAAAACAACAGACUGCCCUAUGCUGUCAGUGAAUUAGCAGGUUAUCAGACCUGUGCUGAGUCUUGGGGUACUGGCAGAGCUGUGGCUCUAAUUCCAAGAGUUCGAGCUGCUGGCACCCACCAUUCUGGGCAGGGUGCAUUUGCAAACAUGUGUCGUGCGGACCGCAUGUUUGCACCAACCAAAACCUGGCGUCGUUGGCAUCGCAGAGUGAACACAACUCAGAAACGAUAUACCAUCUGUUCUGCCCUGGCUGCCUCGGCCUUAGCAGCUUUGGUGAUGUCUAAAGGUCAUCAUGUUGAGGAAGUUCCU